rnacentral:hammerhead_ribozyme from 1 species
AUUCAGCUGACAAGUUUCAAAUAGGACGAAGUGCACGUCCUGGAU